rnacentral:rRNA from 1 species
UGUAGAAUGAACCGGCGAGUUACGAUUUGAUGCAAGGUUAAGCAGUAAAUGUGGAGCCGUAGCGAAAGCGAGUCUGAAUAGGGCGUUUAGUAUUUGGUCGUAGACCCGAAACCAGGUGAUCUACCCUUGGUCAGGUUGAAGUUCAGGUAACACUGAAUGGAGGACCGAACCGACUUACGUUGAAAAGUGAGCGGAUGAACUGAGGGUAGCGGAGAAAUUCCAAUCGAACCUGGAGAUAGCUGGUUCUCUCCGAAAUAGCUUUAGGGCUAGCCUCAAGUGAUGAUUAUUGGAGGUAGAGCACUGUUUGGACGAGGGGCCCCUCUCGGGUUACCGAAUUCAGACAAACUCCGAAUGCCAAUUAAUUUAACUUGGGAGUCAGAACAUGGGUGAUAAGGUCCGUGUUCGAAAGGGAAACAGCCCAGACCACCAGCUAAGGUCCCAAAAUAUAUGUUAAGUGGAAAAGGAUGUGGCGUUGCCCAGACAACUAGGAUGUUGGCUUAGAAGCAGCCAUCAUUUAAAGAGUGCGUAAUAGCUCACUAGUCGAGUGACACUGCGCCGAAAAUGUACCGGGGCUAAACAUAUUACCGAAGCUGUGGAUUGUCCUUUGGACAAUGGUAGGAGAGCGUUCUAAGGGCGUUGAAGCAUGAUCGUAAGGACAUGUGGAGCGCUUAGAAGUGAGAAUGCCGGUGUGAGUAGCGAAAGAUGGGUGAGAAUCCCGUCCACCGAUUGAC